UACGUAGGGUGCGAGCGUUGUCCGGAAUUAUUGGGCGUAAAGGGCUCGUAGGCGGUUUGUCACGUCGGGAGUGAAACUCGGGGCUCAACCCCGAGCCUGCUUCCGAUACGGGCAGACUAGAGGUAUGCAGGGGAGAAUGGAAUUCCGUGGUGUAGCGGUGAAAUGCGCAGAUAUCAGGAGGAACACCGGUGGCGAAGGCGGUUCUCUGGGCAUUACCUGACGCUGAGGAGCGAAAGUGUGGGGAGCGAACAGG
rnacentral:rRNA from 1 species